rnacentral:SRP_RNA from 1 species
GCCGGGGCAGUAGCGGCGCCCUGUACCUGUGGAAUCCGCUAUAGCAGGGGUGAUGUCAAUCCGAGGGGUAAGUUUUUUUGAAGGCCCAGGUGCGAUUGCGUUGAGGCUUUGGUCUUCCGCAACGGAAAUCUACGAAUCAUGUCAGGUCAGGAAUGAAGCAGCAUUAAGUAGAACCUUUCGUGUGCCGGAAGGGUGCCUGAGCUGAGUUAAUCGUGUU